rnacentral:rRNA from 1 species
GGGCCCGCACAAGCGGUGGAGCAUGUGGUUUAAUUCGAUGCAACGCGAAGAACCUUACCAGGACUUGACAUACUACAAAUUCUUUUGAGAAAAAGAAGUGCCUUCGGGAAUGUAGAUACAGGUGGUGCAUGGCUGUCGUCAGCUCGUGUCGUGAGAUGUUGGGUUAAGUCCCGCAACGAGCGCAACCCUUAUUUUUAGUUACCAAUUCGUUGGGUUCUCUGAAAGACUGCCGGUGACAAACCGGAGGAAGGUGAGGAUGACGUCAAGUCAGCAUGCCCCUUAUGUCCUGGGCUACACACGUGCUACAAUGGUUAAGACAAAGAGUCGUGAGAACGAG